GUGAGUGUAGCUCAGUCGGCAGAGCACCAGGUUGUGGCCCUGGGUGUCGUGGGUUCAAUCCCCAUCACUCACCCCA
rnacentral:tRNA from 1 species